UGGGGAAUUUUGGACAAUGGGCGCAAGCCUGAUCCAGCCAUGCCGCGUGCAGGAUGAAGGCCUUCGGGUUGUAAACUGCUUUUGUACGGAACGAAAAGGUGCCUUCUAAUAAAGGGCGCUCAUGACGGUACCGUAAGAAUAAGCACCGGCUAACUACGUGCCAGCAGCCGCGGUAAUACGUAGGGUGCGAGCGUUAAUCGGAAUUACUGGGCGUAAAGCGUGCGCAGGCGGUUUUGUAAGACAGAGGUGAAAUCCCCGGGCUCAACCUGGGAACUGCCUGUGUGACUGCAAGGCUGGAGUGCGGCGGAGGGGGAUGGAAUUCCGCGUGUAGCAGUGAAAUGCGUAGAUAUGCGGAGGAACACCGAUGGCGAAGGCAAUCCCCUGGGCCUGCACUGACGCUCAUGCACGAAAGCGUGGGGAGCAAACA
rnacentral:rRNA from 1 species